CACGUAGGGGGCGAGCGUUGUCCGGAUUUAUUGGGCGUAAAGGGUGCGUAGGCGGGUCUUUAAGUCAGGGGUGAAAUCCUGGAGCUCAACUCCAGAACUGCCUUUGAUACUGAAGAUCUUGAGUUCGGGAGAGGUGAGUGGAACUGCGAGUGUAGAGGUGAAAUUCGUAGAUAUUCGCAAGAACACCAGUGGCGAAGGCGGCUCACUGGCCCGAUACUGACGCUGAGGCACGAAAGCGUGGGGAGCAAACAGG
rnacentral:rRNA from 1 species